UAUGACAUAAUCAGAGACCAGUUUGAAAUACAGUCGGGUUUCUGUAUUCAUAUAACUUAUAUGAAAAAACUAAUGAUUAUGAACUGCUAUUAAUCGUAUAUAACAUCAUUAGUUAUUUUGAAAGUACAGUAUCUAUUCAGGUGGAAAUAUAUACAUUGUGGACACCAAACAGAAUAUUGCUUACUUGGUCCUGAUUUCAAAGUUAAGGAAACGAUGAUGUUGACCGUUGUUGGGAUUCUAUGCUUGGGAACCCUCUUGCCCCCAGUGAUUUCUGGCAUCUCACUGGAAGAACGCUUAAACGACGAAGAACCCCAGUUUAUGCUCGAUUACCUCAUCGAGCUAUCAAAGAGAGAAGCCGAACUCGGUGGCGAAAUUGGGGAAGGACCAGAAAUAUUAAAUAAUCAAUUUGUACCAUAUUUUUAAAAUUAAAACUGUGAUGUGAUUAGAAUACAAAUAUUAAAAUCAUCUUUAAUAA